AGGGCCGAGGGGAAAGGAGGUAGCGAUUUGCUGCUAGCCACCACCAUAUGACGUUACGCCGCCCUGAGAGAGCCUCUCCCGGCAUGCACUGCUCCACGCCAGCCCCAGCGCAGCCCGCGGCUGGUCGCUUAGCGCAACAAGCGCCCGAGGACCCAGUUGCCACCUUCUAGCAACGCGGCCCCUGGAGACAGGCAGAUGCAGCUAUCAGAUUCCCAGCACGUACCCACCGUGGCCUGCCUUGAGGAAAACGUGGGCCUCUGUGCCUUGGUAGCUUGCUGUUAUGAUGAUGAAGGGGUUUUGCUGUGUGUGGUGUUUUUUUUUUUCAAUGAAAUGUUUGAAAUAUCACUCGUUCUAAACUCUCAGCUGAAUUGUUACAGCUUGGGGAUACCACCUUACGUUUUAAAGUGGUUUGAGACCUAUGGAUGUAAAGCAGUAUGUAGAAGCUAAUUACUUUUAUUAUUUAUUGAGAAGCCUGUAACACACAAUAGUGGACUUUCCAAAUAUAAAAAAGUUCCAACUUUUCUUACUUAAAAUUGAGGCCCAACUCUACUCUUUCUUUGUUGGAGUCAUCCUAUUGCAAGGUCAGCCCCAUCAGGGAGAGUCUGUAAGGUGGUAUCUGUCAAGGGACUCCCAAAUUGAGAGAAACAACAAGGAGUUCGGUGGCACCUUAAAGACUAACAGACUUAUUUGGGCAUAAGCUUUUGUGGGUAAAAAAACCUCACUUCUUCGGAUGCAUGUUAGUCUUUAAGGUGCUACCAGACUCCUUGUAGUUUUUGUGGAUACAGACUAACACGGCUAUUUGACAAGUUAAAAUAAUUUGUUUAGGAGGGCCCACAGAUGUAUUUGAUGAUAAGCUUUGAGGAAAACAUUUUCAGGACUUUACAGGACCUGAAUUUAGAUUCCCUAAUGAUUGGCACCUUAUAAAUAAAUACUGUCCGUCCCCACCAGUCCAGUAUCCCCACCAAGUGCUUGUGACAUCAACUCCUUUGCACAGUGAGCCAGAGGCAGAAUCUUUUUUUUUUUUUUUUCCAUGGGUCACAGCAGGAGCCAUCAUUGGUUUUAGCUUGGAACUAUUUUUAGUUGGGCUGAAACAACAGUAAGGGUAUGUCUACACUACAGGAUUAAUCCGAAUUUACAGAAUUUGAAUUUUGGAAACAGAUUGUAUAAAGUUGAAUGUAUGUCACACUAAGCACAUUAAUUCGGUGGUGUGCGUCCAUGUACCGGGGCUAGCGUCGAUUUCCGGAGCGUUGCACUGUGGGUAGUUAUCCCAUGUUCCCGCAGUCUCCCCCACCCACUGGAAUUCUGGGUUGAGAUCCCAGUGUGACGGGUUGGAUCACAGAAACCCCCUUGGGAGCUGCCACCUGAUGUGCAAAGACUACCUCUGCUCCUGUUUUCUCUGCCAGCUCAGGAUUCCAGCACCUUGUCUUGCUGAGCCAGACGCUCCCAUCUGCUCCAACACAGACCCAGGGUCUGAAUCACUUGUCCCAGAGCUGGAAGUUUACCCAAAACCAGCUCACAGAAGUGUGCUUGUCUUUAGCACUCAGAUGCCCAACUCCCAAUGGGGUCUAAACCCAGAUAAAUCCAUUUUAUCCUGCAUAAAGCUUAUGCAGAGUAAACUCAUAAAUUGUUCGCCCUCUAUAACACUGAUAGAGAGAUUUGCACAGUUGUUUGCUCCCUCAGGUAUUAAUACAUACUCUGAGUAAAUUACUAAAUAAAAAGUGAUUUUAUUAAAACAGAAAGUGGGAUUUAAGUGGUUCCAAGUAGUAACAGACAGAACAAAGUAAAUCACCAAGCAAAAUAAAAUAAAAUGCGCAAAUCUAUGUCUAAUUAAACUACAUACAGAUAAUCUCACCCUCAGAGAUGCUUCAGUAAGUUUUUCUCAGACUGGACACCUUCCAGGCCUGGGCACAAUUCUUUCCCCUGGUACAGUUAUUGUUCCAGCUCAGGUGAUAGCUAGGGGAUUCUUCAUAAUGGCUCCUCUCCCCCUUUGUUCUCUUCCACCCCUUUAUAUAUCUUUUGCAUAAGGUGGGAACCCCUUGUCCCUCUGGGUUUCCACCCCCCUCACUGGAAAAGCACCAGGUUAAAGAUGGAUUCCAGUUCAGGUGACAUGAUCACAUGUCACUGCAAGACUUCAUUGCCCACUUGCCAGCACACACAUAUACAGGAAGAUUAACAGGUAAACACAGCCAUCUGCAGACAAUGGUCCUGGUUAAUGGGAGUCAUCAAGAUUCCAAACCAUCAUUAAUGGCCCACACUUCACAUAAUUACAAAAGGCCCUCAGAGUUAUGUUUUAUAUUUCUAAUUUUAGAUACAAGAGUGGUACAUUUCUACAAACAGGAUGAUCACACUCAGUAGAUUUCAGAGUAGCAGCCGUGUUAGUCUGUAUCCGCAAAAAGAAGAACAGGAGUACUUGUGGCACCUUAGAGACUAACAAAUUUAUUAGAGCAUAAGCUUUCGUGGACUACAGCCCACUUCUUUGGAUGCAUAUAGAAUGGAACAUAUAUUGAGGAGAUAUAUAUAUAUAUAUAACAACUUGAUAUAACAAGUACUCCUGUUCUUCUUUUUACUCAGUAGAUUAUGAGCUUUGUAAUGAUACCUUACAAGAGACCUUUUGCACGAAGCAUAUCCCAGUUGCAUUAUAUUCACUUAUUAUCAAAUCUUUAUAAAACUAUCCCAGUUAUAUUAUAUUCACUUAUUAUCACGUUUUUAUAAAACCAUAUAGACUGCACAACGUCACUCCCAGUGCCUGAUGGGGCAAAAAACAUUGUCGCAGGUGGUUCUGGGUCCAGCCUCACCCCUCCUUCCAUGAAAGCAACGGCAGACAACCAUUUCGCGCCUUUUUUCCUGGGUGAACACUGCAGACUCCACACCACGGCAAGCAUGGAGCCCGCUCAGCUCAAGACAGCAGUCAUGAACAUUGUAAACACCUCGCGCGUUCUCAUGCAGUUUAUGCUGAACCAGGACCAGAAAAACAAGGAGAGGAGGCGGCGGCGACGGCAGCGCAGCAACAAGAGUGAUGAGGACGAGGACAUGGACAUGGACACAGAAUUCUCUCAAACCACGGGCCCCGGUGCUUUGGAGAUCAUGUUGUUAAUGGGGCAGGUUCUAUCCGUGGAACGCCAAUUCUGGGCCUGGGAAACAAGCACAGACUGGUGGGACCGCAUAGUGUUGCAGGUGUGGGACGAUUCCCAGUGGCUGCGAAACUUUCACAUGCGUAAGGGCACUUUCAUGGAAUUUCAUGACUUGCUUUCCCCUGCCCUGAAGCGCCAGAAUACCAAGAUGAGAGCAGCCCUCACAGUUGAGAAGUGAGUGGCGAUAGCCCUGUGGAAGCUUGCAACGCCAGACAGCUACCGGUCAGUCGGGAAUCAAUUUGGAGUGGGCAAAUCUACUCUGGGGGCUGCUGUGAUCCAAGUAGCCAAAGCAAUCACUGAGCUGCUGCUAUGAAAGGUAGUGACUCUGGGAAAUAUGCAGGUCAUAGUGGAUGGCUUUGCUGCAAUGGGAUUCUGUCAAGGCUACUUCCCCACUCUGAACUUUAGGGUACAGAUGUGGGGGCCUGCAUGAAAACUUCUAAGCUUAACUACCAGCUUAGAUCUGGUCCGCUGCCACCACUCCCAAUGUGCUAAUUAUAGGGUAGCCUUGACAGACUCUUCACAAAUUCCCUGGUGAAUACAGAUCCAAACCCCUUGGAUCUUAAAACAAGGAGAAAUUAACCAUCCCCCGUCCUUUCUCCCACCAACUCCUGGUGGAUCAAUAUCCAACCCCCUUGGAUCUAAAAACAAGGAAAAAUCAAUCAGGUUCUUAUAAAGAAGGCUUUUAAUUAAAGAAAAAGGAAAAAUCAUCUCUGUAAAAUCAGGAUGGGAAAUAACUUUACAGGGUAAUCAAACUUAAAGAGCCCAGAGGACCCCCCUCUAGCCUUAGGUUCAAAGUUACAGCAAACAGAGUAAGGUACAUUUACAAGAUGAGAAAACAAAGAUAAAACUAACAUGCCUUGCUGGGCUGUUUACUUACAAGUUUGAAAUAUGAGAGACUUGUUCAGAAAGAUUUGGAGAGCAUGGAUUGAUGUCUGGUCCCUCUUAGUCCCAAGAGCGAACAACCCCCAAAACAAAGAUCACAAACAAAAGCCUUUCCACCACCAAGAUUUGAAAGUAUCUUGUCCCCUUAUUGGUCCUUUGGGUCAGGUGUCAGCCAGGUUACCUGAGCUUCUUAACCUUUUACAGGUAAAAGGAUUUUGGAGUCUCUGGCCAGGAGGGAUUUUAUAGUAUUGUAGCCAGGAGGGCUGUUACCCUUCCCUUUAUAGUUAUGACAGAUUCCCUAACUGUGGUGGGGCGAUAGAUGGAACCCAUAUCCCUAUUUUGGUACCGGAGCACCAGGGUACCUAGUACAUAAACCGCAAGGGGUACUUUUCAGUGGUGCUGCAAGCACUUGUGGAUCACAAGGGACGUUUCACCAACAUCAAUGUGGGCUGGCCGGGAAGGGUUCAUGAUGCUCGCAUCUUCAGGAACACUAAUCUGUUUAAACGGCUGCAGCAAGGGACUUACUUCCCAGACCAGAAAAUAACCGUUGGGGAUGUUGAAAUGCCAAUAGUUAUUCUUGGAGACCCAGCCUACCCCUUAAUGCCAUGGCUCAUGAAGCCAUACACAGGCAGCCUGGACAGGAGUCAGGAGCUGUUCAACUACAGGCUGAGCAAGCGCAGAAUGGUGGUAGAAUGUCCAUUUGGCCGUUUAAAAGGUCACUGGCGAUCAUUACUGACUCACUCAGCCAAACUAAUAUCCCCAUUGUUAUUGUUGCUUGCUGUGCACUCCACAAUCUCUGUGAAAGUAAGGGGGAGACCUUUAUGGCGGGGUGGGAGGCUGAGGCAAAUCACCUGCCUGCUGAUUAUGCGCAGACAGACACCAGGGCGCUUAGAAGAGCACACCAGGAAGCGCUGUGCAUCAGAGAAGCUUUGAAAACCAGUUUCAUGACUGGCCAGGCUACAUUGUGAAAUUUCUGUUUGUUUCUCCUUCAUGAAAACCUACCCCCUUUAUUGACUCAUUCUCUGUAAGGAACCCACCCUCCCCCUUCUCCCAGCUUGCUUUCAAAGGAAAUAAAGUCACUAUCAUUUAAAAAUCA